rnacentral:misc_RNA from 1 species
AUGAAGCUUGGAUGGAUGUAAAUCAAUACCUUUCUCAAUCUAUAUCGUGAUCGACAACACAAUAGGUUUUGCAAGGGAUUUAGAACAAUGAUCACAACAAAAUAUACACAUGAAGCACUCCCAUGGAAAAUAUACACAAGUAGUAUAUUGCCUCGUGAUAAAAGUACAUACAACAUAUUGCCGUUGACUACACCUACCAAUGGCA